CAGUAGCCGCGGGAAUACGUAGGUGGCAAGCGUUGUCCGGAAUUAUUGGGCGUAAAGGGCUCGCAGGCGGCUUCUUAAGUCUGAUGUGAAAGCCCCCGGCUCAACCGGGGAGGGUCAUUGGAAACUGGGAAACUUGAGUGCAGAAGAGGAGAGUGGAAUUCCACGUGUAGCGGUGAAAUGUGUAGAGAUGUGGAGGAACACCAGUGGCGAAGGCGACUCUCUGGUCUGUAACUGACGCUGAGGAGCGAAAGCGUGGGGAGCGAACAGGAUUAGAUACCCGAGUAGUCCCUGUCUCUUAUAC
rnacentral:rRNA from 1 species